rnacentral:rRNA from 1 species
ACUAUAGCAAAGAGGAUACACCUGUUCCCAUUCCGAACACAGAAGUUAAGCUCUUUAGCGCAGAUGGUACUUGGUGGGAAGCUGCCUGGGAGAGUAGCU